AUUCUGAGUCCCACCUAGACAUGGAUUCCAAAAUCGAAGCUCUAUUAAAAGCUAUCCAAGACACUAAUGCCCAAGUCCAAAACACUAAUGCCCAAGUCCAAAACACUAAUGCUCAAGUCCAAAAUACCAAUGCCCAAGUCCAAGCAAACAAUGCCCAAAUUCAUGACCUAACCACAAUGUCCACCCAGGUUAAUGCCCGACUCGAUUUAAUUGAGGCUUC
rnacentral:lncRNA from 1 species